rnacentral:rRNA from 1 species
GAGUUUGAUCCUGGCUCAGGAUGAACGCUGGCGGCGUGCCUAACACAUGCAAGUCGAGCGGAGACAUAGGACGGAAGGUCUCGGCUGGAUCACCUCCUU